GCCCGCGGCCUAUCAGCUAGUUGGUGAGGUAACGGCCCACCAAGGCUAUGACGGGUAGCUGGUCUGAGAGGACGACCAGUCACACUGGAACUGAGACACGGUCCAGACACCUACGGGUGGCAGCAGUCGAGAAUUUUUGACAAUGGGGGAAACCCUGAUCGAGCGACGCCGCGUGGAGGAUGAAGGUCUUCGGAUUGUAAACUCCUGUCAUUUGGGAACAAGGUGCACACGUUAACUGCGUGGGUAUUGAUAGUACCAGAAGAGGAAGAGACGGCUAACUCUGUGCCAGCAGCCGCGGUAAUACAGAGGUCUCAAGCGUUGUUCGGAUUCAUUGGGCGUAAAGGGUGCGUAGGCGGCGCGGUAAGUCGGGUGUGAAAUCUCGGAGCUAAACUCCGAAACUGCAUUCGAUACUGCCGUGCUUGAGGACUGGAGAGGAGACUGGAAUUUACGGUGUAGCGGUGAAAUGCGUAGAUAUCGUAAGGAAGACCAGUGGCGAAGGCGGGUCUCUGGACAGUUCCUGACGCUGAGGCACGAAGGUCAGGGGAGCAAACGGGAUUAGAUACCCCGGUAGUCCUGACAGUAAACGGUGCACGUUUGGUGUGGGAGGAUUCGACCCCUUCUGCGCCGGAGCUAACGCGUUAAACGUGCCGCCUGGGGAGUACGGUCGCAAGAUUAAAACUCAAAGAAAUUGACGGGGGCCCGCACAAGCGGUGGAGUAUGUGGCUCAAUUCGAUGCAACGCGAAGAACCUUACCAGGCCUUGACAUGCAUCUCUAAGUUGGUGAAAGCCAGCGAGUCCCGAAAGGGACAAUUUGCACAGGUGCUGCAUGGCUGUCGUCAGCUCGUGUCGUGAGAUGUUGGGUUAAGUCCCGCAACGAGCGCAACCCCUGUGAACUGUUGCCACCGAGCCGUGAGGCUCGAGCACUCUGUNCAGACUGCCCCGCUUUAACGGGGAGGAAGGUGGGGACGACGUCAAGUCAGUAUGGCCCUUACGGCCUGGGCUGCACACGUACUACAAUGCCCAGCACAGAACGGUCCGAGACCGCGAGGUGGAGGAAAUCUAGUAAAACUGGGCCCAGUUCAGAUUGGAGUCUGCAACUCGACUCCAUGAAGCCGGAAUCGCUAGUAAUGGCGCAUCAGCUACGGCGCCGUGAAUACGUUCCCGGGCCUUGUACACACCG
rnacentral:rRNA from 1 species